CAAUAGCAGUUGAAGCUGCCAGCAUGAUCUAAGCUUUUCUGUUGCCCACCCUUUCUCCAGGAAAGACUAGAUCAUGUGGCAGUUUCACCUGUUGAUGGA